rnacentral:rRNA from 1 species
UCCAGACUCCUACGGGAGGCAGCAGUGAGGAAUAUUGGUCAAUGGCCGCAGGGCUGAACCAGCCAAGUCGCGUGAGGGAUGACGGUCCUAUGGAUUGUAAACCUCUUUUGUCAGGGAGCAAUUGGGUCCACGCGCGGGCUUAGCGAGAGUACCUGAAGAAAAAGCAUCGGCUAACUCCGUGCCAGCAGCCGCGGUAAUACGGAGGAUGCGAGCGUUAUCCGGAUUUAUUGGGUUUAAAGGGUGCGUAGGCGGAAUAUCAAGUCAGCGGUAAAAAUUCGGGGCUCAACCCCGUCGUGCCGUUGAAACUGAUGUUCUUGAGUGGGCGAGAAGUAUGCGGAAUGCGUGGUGUAGCGGUGAAAUGCAUAGAUAUCACGCAGAACUCCGAUUGCGAAGGCAGCAUACCGGCGCCCAACUGACGCUGAAGCACGAAAGCGUGGGUAUCGAACAGGAUUAGAUACCCGCGUA